rnacentral:lncRNA from 1 species
ACUGGAAGUCCAAGGUCAAGGUGCCAGCAGUGUUGGUGUCUAGUUGAGGAUGCUCCCUUUGGGCUGCUAUAUUAGUCUGUUCUCACACCACUAUACUUCCUGAGACUAAGUAAUUUAUAAAAGAAAGAGGUUUGGUUCACAGUUCCACAUGGCUGAGGAGACCUCAGGAAACUUACAAUUAUGGUAGAAGGUGAAGGUGGAGCAAGGCACGUCUCUUCAUGGCUGCAAGAGAGAGAGAAAGAGUGAGGAAGUGUCACUCUUUAAACCAUCAGAUCUUGUGAGAACUCCAUCACUAUCACAAGAAUAGCAUGGGGAAAACCACCCCCAUGAUCCAUUCGCAUCCCACCAGGUUCCUCCCGUUGAAGAGGGAGAAAAGGAAAGAGAGAGAGGGAAAAAUAGAGAGCUCUUAGGUGUCUCUCCUUGUAAGGCAACUAAUCUCUUCAUGAGGCCCACCUUUAUGACCUCAUCUGAACCUGAUUACCUUCAAAAGGCUUCAUCUCCAAAUCCCAAAUAGCAUCAUAUUAGGAUUUGGGGCUUUAACCUGUGUUUGGGGGAAAGAGGGGUACAUAAUUCAGUCCAUAGCACUUCCUAAAAUCCUACAGCCAAUAAGAGAGAAUGAGAGCAGAAAGUGUGAGAAAACAGUGACUGAGAGGAGGAUUCCUGGCCAUAGAAGAAGAAAAUUAAGCCAGAGCUGCAGUGGAACUCCAUCAAGAAAGUCUGGAAGUCAAUGGCCCUUGACCUGGUGAAAGAGGACAUAAAGUCAGUAGUGUUUGCAUUACUCAAAAUUUUGUUUUUCAAAAGGAGCUAGUCAACAAAUGCCCCAUGGACCUCCACCAGCCUCUCCAUUUCAGAUAUCAAAAAGGAUAGCAGUGUGCUCCACCAGGAUUUUUUGCAGGCAACACUGGUGGCCCUGAUGCUCUGAAACAACUUCCCGACAUCUACCUCAUGAUGAGUGCCUGAAAAACAAAAGCCUGCAGUGGGAACCAGGAUCCAAAUUUUCAUCCAGGAGAAAACUCUGCAACUCCUGGGCCACUGGAAGCCUAGCCACACUUGGGGAGCACUAAUGUUGUUCUGAGGAAUGUGGACAUUUACAUAUCCCCUCUGGGGUUUAAAUACCAUGAUGUAGAAGGGUGGGAAAAUGCCUGCAAGGGAACAGAGAGGCAUUGGCAAAGGUGCCCCUUCCCUGAGCCCACGGUGGCACACUUCAUUUGUUGUUAAAGACUAAAACUACCUUUCUCAUUGUUAAAAAUGAUGCAUGAGCAUAUGUGGUUUGUUUUUAUGUGAAUUGCAUCUAUGUAUUUUUGAGUAUUUGCAUGUCUAUCACUUGCUUGCAUUGUUGGCUGG